UUCUGCCACAUUUUCAUUCAUGGAUCUUUAUAUUGUUUUGUGAUACAUGUAGUAGAACCUUGAUCUCAUAGAUUCUUAUUAUUAAGCUGAAAUAAUGAUCAGUAAGGCAGGAAAGACAUGUCAGUUUGAACUCUCUUGUGGAAAAACAUGUUAUAGUAGCACAGCUAAAUAUUGUACAUUUUUUUUAUGCCCAAGCCGAAGCGGAGGGGGAUUAAGUUUUACCCUUGUCCGUCUGUAUGUCUGGAAAUAAGUUAUCUUUCUCUAACUUAAGUUUGCCUAAACCAAUUGUUUUAAAAAUUAUUCACAAUACUUAUUAUCAAAAAACACAGAUCAAAUUUUUGGGUGGCAUUACUUUCACCUUUCAAUAGUUAUGCCGUUUACAACUGGAAAAAUUGCUGAAUUUUCGUUUCUGUUCUCCUUAUAAACCAAAUGUUAUGAAACUUAUACACAAUGGUAUUACCACAACUCGCAGAUCAAGUAUUAAUUUGGGUAGCAUCACUUUUAUUGUUCUUGAGUUAUGUCCUUUUAUAACUUUAUAAGCAAGCGGGGGCAUCAUUUCUGUCCCAUGGACACAUUCCAUUUAUUUAACUUACAUUUAACAUCUUCAGAAAUUUAAGGUUUAGAGGUGCAUUUUUUUUCUGGAGUUUUGGAAGCCAGACCUAGUCAAGUGUAACAAGAAUCUGAAGUCGGGUAAAAGUUUGAAGACAGAGCAUUUGUUAAAAUGAUAAUUUAAAACAAAUGUUUGUUUAAAUAUUGGUACUGG
rnacentral:lncRNA from 1 species